rnacentral:ncRNA from 1 species
CGGUCGGCAGUUCACCCAGGCGUUGUCGCGCGACACAUUCGCGAGCUAAACCUGCCA